rnacentral:rRNA from 1 species
AUUGAACGCUGGCGGCAGGCCUAACACAUGCAAGUCGAACGAGUGGCGGACGGGUGAGUAAUGUCUGGGAAAAUGCCUGAUGGAGGGGGCUAACUACUGGAAACGGUCGCUAAUACCGCAUACCAUCAGAUGUGCCCAGCUGGGAUUGGCUCGUUGGUGGGGUAACGGCUCACCAAGGCGACGAUCCCUAGCUGGUCUGAGAGGAUGACCAGCCACACUGGAACGGAGACACGGUCCAGACUCCUACGGGAGGCAGCAGUGGGGAAUAUUGCACGAGGGGCGCAAGCCUGAUGCAGCCAUGCCGCGUGUAUGAAGAAGGCCUUCGGGUUGUAAAGUACUUUCAGCGGGGAGGCGUUACCCGAAGAAGAAGCACCGGCUAACUCCGUGCCAGCAGCCGCGGUAAUAC